rnacentral:lncRNA from 1 species
CCUUUAACAAAAAUAUAAAGAUUUCAAAAAUUUUGAACCAACCGUUUUGUCAGAAAAAUUACACUGGUUAUAUAGCAGUUUGACAAACACCAAUUUUGAUCAUUGGGAUGCUUGAUAUUCCCUUUACAACACAACGUAAUUAAAACGUUUAGCUGAUUUUACAGAGUUAUCUCCCUGUAGUGUUAGGUACCACCUUAACUGAAAAGGGUUAAUAAUUACAAAACUGAACAAAAUCUAAAACGGAUGACAUAUAUUGAUCUAAUAUAUCUGGGAUAUAAAUUUAGUACCUGUUUAAAUAUAUCUGAAAUUCUAGUAACCGUUACUGAGCGCUCUGAUAUGUAAAUUACUAUAUACUGCCAUAUUGCCU